GGUAGGGGAGGGAACUCAUAACCCAGAUUUAAUGACCAAGGAAGGGCUCCUUGCCCAUUGCCCAAUUGUUUGGACAGAGUAUGUCUCUACCUGACAAUUCUGUUAAGUCGCCAUCAUUUCGAUGUGGGAUAUGCCCCACCGAUGGGCAAUCCAUGAUAAGACUGCCGGGUGAAGCCUCCAUUCUCCUGGAAGAAUUUCUGUUCUGCCGAGGAAGUCCAGUAACGUUCUCUGAGCCCAGAAUGAUAGAUUGCCUUCAGACCUUGGAG